GAUGAACGCUAGCUACAGGCUUAACACAUGCAAGUCGAGGGGCAGCGCAGUGUAGCAAUACAUGGGCGGCGACCGGCGCACGGGUGCGUAACGCGUAUCCAACCUUCCCGUUACUCAGGGAUAGCCUUCCGAAAGGGAGAUUAAUACCUGAUGGUGUUCAAAUUCCGCAUGUUAUUUGAACUAAAGAUUUAUCGGUAACGGAUGGGGAUGCGUGACAUUAGGUAGUAGGCGGGGUAACGGCCCACCUAGCCUUCGAUCAUUAGGGGUUCUGAGAGGAAGGUCCCCCACACUGGAACUGAGACACGGUCCAGACUCCUACGGGAGGCAGCAGUGAGGAAUAUUGGUCAAUGGGCGAGAGCCUGAACCAGCCAAGUAGCGUGAAGGAAGACUGCCCUAUGGGUUGUAAACUUCUUUUGUUCGGGAAUAAAGUGCAGUACGCGUACUGUUUUGUAUGUACCGUUCGAAUAAGCAUCGGCUAAUUCCGUG
rnacentral:rRNA from 1 species